UACGUAGGGUGCAAGCGUUAAUCGGAAUUACUGGGCGUAAAGCGUGCGCAGGCGGCUUUGCAAGACAGAUGUGAAAUCCCCGGGCUUAACCUGGGAACUGCAUUUGUGACUGGCGGGCUAGAGUAUGGCAGAGGGGGGUAGAAUUCCACGUGUAGCAGUGAAAUGCGUAGAGAUGUGGAGGAACACCGAUGGCGAAGGCAAUCCCCUGGACCUGUACUGACGCUCAUGCACGAAAGCGUGGGGAGCAAACAGG
rnacentral:rRNA from 1 species